rnacentral:rRNA from 1 species
GACGAACGCUGGCGGCGUGCCUAAUACAUGCAAGUAGAACGCACAGUUUAUACCGUAGCUUGCUACACCAUAGACUGUGAGUUGCGAACGGGUGAGUAACGCGUAGGUAACCUGCCUGGUAGCGGGGGAUAACUAUUGGAAACGAUAGCUAAUACCGCAUAAUAUUAAUUAUUGCAUGAUAAUUGGUUGAAAGAUGCAACUGCAUCACUACCAGAUGGACCUGCGUUGUAUUAGCUAGUAGGUGAGGUAACGGCUCACCUAGGCGACGAUACAUAGCCGACCUGAGAGGGUGAUCGGCCACACUGGGACUGAGACACGGCCCAGACUCCUACGGGAGGCAGCAGUAGGGAAUCUUCGGCAAUGGACGAAAGUCUGACCGAGCAACGCCGCGUGAGUGAAGAAGGUUUUCGGAUCGUAAAGCUCUGUUGUAAGAGAAGAACGGGUGUGAGAGUGGAAAGUUCACACUGUGACGGUAUCUUACCAGAAAGGGACGGCUAACUACGU